GAUGAACGCUGGCGGCGUGCUUAACACAUGCAAGUCGAACGGGAAUUCUUUUAUUGAACCUUCGGUCGAUUUAAUUUAAUUCUAGUGGCGGACGGGUGAGUAACGCGUGGGUAACCUGCCUUAUACAGGGGGAUAACAGUCAGAAAUGGCUGCUAAUACCGCAUAAGCGCACAGAGCUGCAUGGCUCAGUGUGAAAAACUCCGGUGGUAUAAGAUGGACCCGCGUUGGAUUAGCUUGUUGGCAGGGUAACGGCCUACCAAGGCGACGAUCCGUAGCCGGCCUGAGAGGGUGAACGGCCACAUUGGGACUGAGACACGGCCCAGACUCCUACGGGAGGCAGCAGUGGGGAAUAUUGCACAAUGGGGGAAACCCUGAUGCAGCGACGCCGCGUGAAGGAAGAAGUAUCUCGGUAUGUAAACUUCUAUCAGCAGGGAAGAUAGUGACGGUACCUGACUAAGAAGCCCCGGCUAACUACGUG
rnacentral:rRNA from 1 species